GCCUUGGUGGCGGAAUUGGUAUACGCGCUAGUCUUAGGAACUAGUUCCCGCAAGGGAUUGAGAGUUCGAGUCUCUCCCAAGGCA
rnacentral:tRNA from 1 species